UGGGGAAUAUUGCACAAUGGGCGCAAGCCUGAUGCAGCCAUGCCGCGUGUGUGAAGAAGGCCUUCGGGUUGUAAAGCACUUUCAGCGAGGAGGAAGGUGGUGAGCUUAAUACGCUCAUCAAUUGACGUUACUCGCAGAAGAAGCACCGGCUAACUCCGUGCCAGCAGCCGCGGUAAUACGGAGGGUGCAAGCGUUAAUCGGAAUUACUGGGCGUAAAGCGCACGCAGGCGGUUUGUUAAGUCAGAUGUGAAAUCCCCGGGCUCAACCUGGGAACUGCAUUUGAAACUGGCAAGCUAGAGUCUCGUAGAGGGGGGUAGAAUUCCAGGUGUAGCGGUGAAAUGCGUAGAGAUCUGGAGGAAUACCGGUGGCGAAGGCGGCCCCCCUGGACGAAGACUGACGCUCAGGUGCGAAAGCGUGGGGCAGCAAACAGGAUUAGAUACCCUGGUAGUCCAGCGCUGUAAAACGAUGUCGAUUUGGAGGUUGUGCCCUUGAGGCGUGGCUUCCGGAGCUAACGCGUUAAAUCGACCGCCUGGGGAGUACGGCCGCAAGGUUAAAACUCAAAAGAAUUGAC
rnacentral:rRNA from 1 species